ACCUGGCUGGCUCAGCUGAUUGAGUGUGUGACUGUUGAUCUCAGGGUUGUGGGUUUGAGCCCCACAUUGGGUA
rnacentral:tRNA from 1 species